rnacentral:rRNA from 1 species
GUCGAGCGGAGAGAGGUAGCUUGCUACUGAUCUUAGCGGCGGACGGGUGAGUAAUGCUUAGGAAUCUGCCUAUUAGUGGGGGACAACAUUUCGAAAGGAAUGCUAAUACCGCAUACGUCCUACGGGAGAAAGCAGGGGAUCUUCGGACCUUGCGCUAAUAGAUGAGCCUAAGUCGGAUUAGCUAGUUGGUGGGGUAAAGGCCUACCAAGGCGACGAUCUGUAGCGGGUCUGAGAGGAUGAUCCGCCACACUGGGACUGAGACACGGCCCAGACUCCUACGGGAGGCAGCAGUGGGGAAUAUUGGACAAUGGGCGCAAGCCUGAUCCAGCCAUGCCGCGUGUGUGAAGAAGGCCUUAUGGUUGUAAAGCACUUUAAGCGAGGAGGAGGCUACUUUAGUUAAUACCUAGAGAUAGUGGACGUUACUCGCAGAAUAAGCACCGGCUAACUCUGUGCCAGCAGCCGCGGUAAUACAGAGGGUGCAAGCGUUAAUCGGAUUUACUGGGCGUAAAGCGCGCGUAGGCGGCUAAUUAAGUCAAAUGUGAAAUCCCCGAGCUUAACUUGGGAAUUGCAUUCGAUACUGGUUAGCUAGAGUGUGGGAGAGGAUGGUAGAAUUCCACGUGUAGCGCUGAAAUGCGUAGAGAUCU